rnacentral:lncRNA from 1 species
CAGGGAUUUCGUAUUCAGGCUAGUUUAUUUUCUCAUGAUUUCCACUUAGACUGAAGAAAUACAGGUUUGAUUAAGUGCAUCCUAAAAACCAAGUAUUAGUCAACCCCUUUGCACUCAGAUCUCUUCCGUCCCUCCCCCAUCCUUUCCUUUUCUCUCCAAACCAAACCAAACCGGACUGUCACUCUUGCCUUUCUUAUCGUUUUCAGAGAUUCGCCACCCUGUUUUAGACGAUCCCUGAGUUGCCUUUUUUUCUUCUUCUGAGCUAUUAAUAGACAGCAAACUGUCUCCUGUACAGUGCACUCCGGCACACACACACACACACACACACACACACACACACACACACACACACACACACACACAUCCCUUCUCUGGAAGUUACACUUUGGUAACAAGAGUUGAGAGUCUGGGGAGUUGCAUUUAUCCGUGAUUGGAGAAAGAAAGAGACCAUUGAGCCCCGGUCCAACACUACCUAACCCCUACCCCACCCCCGCCCCCAAGCCCUCAAAACCCACCGGCCUGCGCCUUGGCGGCAGCCACAAUGCUUCCCUGGGCGGCUGCAGCAGCAGCAUCGCUGCUUUUCAUACUGUCCAGGUCUCAACUCUUCGGACGCACAGAUGCCAACCUGUUUGACAACCAUGAUCACUGGCCAUGCACAUUACGGGGCAGCUUGAAAUCCUCGUGGACCACCACAGACGCCCCACAGAAGCACACUCUCCAUUGCAUCUCACUGCACCCUCACGGUUGUUUGCCAGUGUAAACUCAUCGUCCACUUAUAUUACUAUUCUUCUGGCUGGUGGAUUUUCAAAUGGACUUCUGGGCAACACCGGCCAGUGACUCAGUGGAACUUGUGUGAGAUUAGAGCUGGUGUUUCAAUGGUAGAAAAGAAGAAAGCCCUGUCUGAAGAGAUGCUUUCCUUACCAAGGUUAGUUUAUAUAUAAAUGCUGUUAAAAAUGAAUACAUGCAAUUGGAUUUUAAGUGCAAUUCUAAUUUAAUGCAGUAUUUAUCAUUAGUCAGGAGAAACGAGCUAUUUUCUUUAUUGAUUCAUCAGGUAGCUUAAAAAAUCCAUCCCUCAGCAAGAAACCUUGCAAAAUUCUCCUACCAUUUCCCCCAUGUUUGUACAAAUGAGUAUUUUCACUAGUAAACCCCAAACCAGAAAUAAACUCAGCAGGAGUCCAGAUUGAAGAGAACUU